AGCUCUGCCCAAUUCUUGGAGACCACACCUAUGCGGCUCGCGUGGGCAGCGUUCUGGGCCAGCGCUUUCUGUGGCCAGCAGAGACUACCAAGCCCCAGAGACAGUUUACAGGAUAGACAGAAAACUGACUGAGCUGAACAGCGCAAGGAGACAAUCAGAUAAGCCAGAAUGUGGGACAGUGCUACAGGCUGGCCAGCCUGGCCUCCAAAGGAUCAGGACGCCAAGAAGGAACCACUGGAGCCGUCCUAGAUCAAAGGAGAUCAGAGACACAAAGCUACCAGUGUGGCCACCCUGGGUACAAACUAGCCUCAAAAACAUCAGUAACAAAAGACGACUGGGGACAAAGGACGCCUGAAAAAUGCCUGGCUCAAUCUUCCCAGGCACCCAGCCAUUCAGUAUUUUGCUUGUUUAUCCUGAAACAAGGCUUCAUGUAGCCCAGGUUGGCCUCAAGCUCACUAUGUAGCCAAGGAUGACCUGAAACUCCUGAUCCUCCUGCUGCAGCAUCCUAAAUAUCGGGGUCACAGGCUUGUGUUGUCAUGCCUUGCGAAAAUUCUGAUCAAUUUUAAAUGGCAAGGACUUCAUCUUUCCCCUUUCCUCUGCCCUCUUCCGUGAUUACGCUGUUUGUUACGGGGUCUCGCUGUAAAGUGCCAGCUGGAUUGAGUUUGGCCACGUAAGCCAGGCUGGCUGUGAACUUGUGGGUUGCAGGUGUACGUGUGCACUUGCUUAAUUUCCUCCUUUACAUUUU
rnacentral:lncRNA from 1 species